rnacentral:ncRNA from 2 species
CAACGCUUGACGGGGUGCCGGUGGAACCGGCUGAGAUCGCCAUACGACAUGUCUGCUGCAGACGCGUCGUCACGGCGGGGCCCGUUGAACCUGAUCCGGCUCGUACCGGCGUAGGAAUCAAGCGGUGGCCAGGC